rnacentral:rRNA from 1 species
UACGUAGGGUGCGAGCGUUGCCCGGAUUUAUUGGGCGUAAAGGGCGCGUAGGCGGUCACGCACGUCCGUUGUGAAAUCGCUCGGCUCAACUGGGCGGGGUCAGCGGAUACGGCGUGGCUGGAGCAAGCUAGGGGGCAAUGGAAUUCCCGGUGUAGUGGUGGAAUGCGUAGAUAUCGGGAGGAACACCAGUGGCGAAGGCGGUUGCCUGGAGCUUUGCUGACGCUGAUGCGCGAAAGCGUGGGGGAGCAAACAGG